AUGCAGUGGGCCCUAGCGGUGCUUCUAGCUUUCCUGUCUCCUGCCAGUCAGAAAUCUUCCAACUUGGAAGGGAGAACAAAGUCAGUCAUCAGGCAGACUGGGUCAUCUGCUGAAAUCACUUGUGAUCUUGAUGGAGGAAGUACCGGCUACAUACACUGGUACCUACACCAGGAGGGGAAGGCCCCACAGCGUCUUCAGUACUAUGACUCCUACAACUCCAAGGUUGUGUUGGAAUCAGGAGUCAGUCCAGGGAAGUAUUAUACUUACACAAGCACAAGGAAGAACUUGAGAUUGAUACUGCGAAAUCUAAUUGAAAAUGACUCUGGGGUCUAUUACUGUGCCACCUGGGACGGGCACAGUGAUUCAGAUCUGCCCUACACCACACUGAAAAUCUGCCUUGUGGCUGCUUCUGGUACACAAGAUAGAGCCGCCCCCUCUCAUUUCCUGCCACCAAAUUUACCGUGUGCUGAACAAGAGAAACAUUGCUUAACUCCUGAUCUCCCCUGCAAUAUUACACUCCCCUGGCAGCAGCUGCACCCUGUUCCCCACCCUCUCCCAGGACUUUCCUGAAGACCGAGCUGCCAUCUCAGCUAAGCCUCAGCGAAGCAGCCUGGCUGAGAGCAAGGUUCUCUUAGCUCUCCUAGGACAUGGGGGAGGCCCACUCACUCUGCUUCCUAGGACAAACGGG